ncrna:unclassified sequences malK-I RNA
UCCCAUGGCGGCAGGCCACUCCACUUUCUGGUCUGCGGCACAUGAAAAAAGGAGGAAAAAAACGCCCGGGCUCGGGCUGCGGCAGUGUGGAGACCUGCCGUAACGCGGCGCAUCCCGAAGCGGAUGACCGCGAGGGCGCUUCUUGCGGAGGCAGAGCGUCCGGAGCCGAAAAUAUGGCA